UUUAAGUGUACUUGUGGUUUUUUAUCCAACGUUUAAUCGUCCGUCUUAUUUAAAAUUAUUUAAAAAUGUUUUAUGAUUAGUAUUUUUAUUAUUAUAAGAUGAUAAAAGAUAAAUAUUAAUUUAUGCGUGACUUUUUUAAAAAUUUUGUAAAUUUUUCAAAUAAGAUGGACAAUCAAACUUUCAAUAUAAAAAUACACAACUACACUUAAU
rfam:Oryza barthii chromosome 4, whole genome shotgun sequence.